rnacentral:rRNA from 1 species
AACGAACGCUGGCGGCAGGCCUAACACAUGCAAGUCGAACGCCGUAGCAAUACGGAGUGGCAGACGGGUGAGUAACGCGUGGGAACCUUCCCUAUGGUUCGGAAUAGCUCAGGGAAACCUGGGGUAAUACCGGAUAAGCCCUUCGGGGGAAAGAUUUAUCGCCAUUGGAUGGGCCCGCGUCGGAUUAGCUAGUUGGUGAGGUAACGGCUCACCAAGGCGACGAUCCGUAGCUGGUCUGAGAGGAUGAUCAGCCACACUGGGACUGAGACACGGCCCAGACUCCUACGGGAGGCAGCAGUGGGGAAUAUUGGACAAUGGGCGAAAGCCUGAUCCAGCCAUGCCGCGUGAGUGACGAAGGCCUUAGGGUUGUAAAGCUCUUUUGGCGGGGAAGAUAAUGACGGUACCCGCAGAAUAAGCUCCGGCUAACUUCGUGCCAGCCGCCGCCGUAACAC